rnacentral:rRNA from 1 species
GACGAACGCUGGCGGCGUGCCUAACACAUGCAAGUCGAACGGAGAUACCCGCUGAUGAAGUACUUCGGUAAUAAUUCUUGGAUAUCUUAGUGGCGGACGGGUGAGUAACGCGUGAGCAACCUGCCUUUCAGAGGGGGAUAACGUUUGGAAACGAACGCUAAUACCGCAUGAUAUUAUUGAGCUGCAUGGCUUGAUAAUCAAAGGAGCAAUCCGCUGAAAGAUGGGCUCGCGUCCGAUUAGGUAGUUGGCGGGGCAACGGCCCACCAAGCCGACGAUCGGUAGCCGGACUGAGAGGUUGAACGGCCACAUUGGGACUGAGACACGGCCCAG